CGUGUAGGCGGCCAUGCAAGUCGGGUGUGAAAGCCCUCGGCUUAACCGAGGAAGUGCGCCCGAAACUACAUGGCUUGAGUACCGGAGAGGGUGGCGGAAUUCCCGGUGUAGAGGUGAAAUUCGUAGAUAUCGGGAGGAACACCAGCGGCGAAGGCGGCCACCUGGACGGAUACUGACGCUGAGACGCGAAAGCGUGGGGAGCAAACAGGAUUAGAUACCCUGGUAGUCCACGCCGUAAACGAUGAGCGCUAGGUGUUGUGGGUGUUGACCCCCGCAGUGCCGCAGCUAACGCAUUAAGCGCUCCGCCUGGGAAGUACGGCCGCAAGGCUAAA
rnacentral:rRNA from 1 species